AAAUAUGUAUUGUUCAUGUAGGUAGAAACAGAGUAGAACAGAGUAGAAAUGGUAGGACGCAACACCCGCCAACACCAUUCGAAUUCUUGUUCUUUCUCUUGUUCUUGUUCUUGUUCUUUUUCGUUUUCUUGUUCCUGCAAUCG
rnacentral:ribozyme from 17 species